rnacentral:rRNA from 1 species
UGGGGAAUUUUGGACAAUGGGCGAAAGCCUGAUCCAGCCAUGCCGCGUGAGUGAAGAAGGCCUUCGGGUUGUAAAGCUCUUUUAGUCGGAAAGAAAGAGUUGCAAUGAAUAAUUGUGAUUUAUGACGGUACCGACAGAAAAAGCACCGGCUAACUACGUGCCAGCAGCCGCGGUAAUACGUAGGGUGCGAGCGUUAAUCGGAAUUACUGGGCGUAAAGGGUGCGCAGGCGGUCUUGCAAGUCAGAUGUGAAAGCCCCGGGCUUAACCUGGAAUUGCGUUUGAAACUACAAGACUAGAGUGCAGCAGAGGGGAGUGGAAUUCCAUGUGUAGCAGUGAAAUGCGUAGAGAUGUGGAAGAACACCGAUGGCGAAGGCAGCUCCCUGGGUUGACACUGACGCUCAUGCACGAAAGCGUGGGGAGCAAACA